CCUACGGGUGGCAGCAGUGGGGAAUAUUGGACAAUGGGGGCAACCCUGAUCCAGCCAUGCCGCGUGUGUGAAGAAGGCCCUCGGGUUGUAAAGCACUUUCAGUGAGGAAGAACGCCUGGUGGUUAAUACCCAUCAGGAAAGUCAUCACUCACAGAAGAAGCACCGGCUAACUCCGUGCCAGCAGUCGCGGUAAUACGGAGGGUGCGAGCGUUAAUCGGAAUUACUGGGCGUAAAGCGCGCGUAGGUGGCUUGAUAAGCCGGUUGUGAAAGCCCCGGGCUCAACCUGGGAACGGCAUCCGGAACUGUCAAGCUAGAGUGCAGGAGAGGAAGGUAGAAUUCCCGGUGUAGCGGUGAAAUGCGUAGAGAUCGGGAGGAAUACCAGUGGCGAAGGCGGCCUUCUGGACUGACACUGACACUGAGGUGCGAAAGCGUGGGUAGCAAACAGGAUUAGAUACCCUGGUAGUC
rnacentral:rRNA from 1 species